UCGACUACUGCUGCAGCCUUCUCUCUGGCCUGACAAAUGCAGUCUGGCCCCACUCAUACCCAUGUUCUUUUGGCCAAAACAAUGGGCUAUCUCUCCACUCUGGCUGGCUCCUCUUCUCUAUGGCAGUGUUACACCUCUGACCCAAGCAGCUAAUCCAAGUUCGGGGCCCUGGCGAUGUCCCAGCUGGCAGUACAAAUUCAUGAUGGAGUCCGAUAUUGUCUUGAAUGCAGCCUUGUUUAUUCACCGAGUGUACAAAGUCCUGCUUCUGCAAACUAGCACUAGCAGGAGGAAUGAAAACCCCAAACAAUACUCAGAGCUUGUCUGCACUUCAAGCACUGCAGCUGCACCGCUGAAGCGUGUAGUGAAGACACUAUGUAUGUGGGCGGUAGCGCUUCUCCCACCUGUGUAGGUACUCCACCUCCCCGAGAGGCGGUAGCUAUGUCCACAGGAGAAGCCCUCCCAUCGACAUAACGCUGUCUACAGGGGGAGUUCGAAAUGCCCAGACAUUUUGGAAGUGAUUGGGUGCAAUGUUCAAAAGUGACCCUGUAACAGACAGACAUGGAAAUACCACCAAGUCACGCAUCAGGUCUUCGCAAGCUCGGCCAAUGAGUAAAAGCAAACUGGGAGGGUGCCACGUUGGGGCAUCCAGCGAUAGAGCCUGAUUUCAGACCGCCUGACACUGCAUGGAAUAAUCCCUCGUGGAAAGGAAGAGGCAA